UGGGAACGCGAAGAACCUUACCAGGGCUUGACAUCCUACUAAUGAAGCAGAGAUGCAUUAAGUGCCCUUCGGGGAAAGUAGAGACAGGUGGUGCAUGGUUGUCGUCAGCUCGUGUCGUGAGAUGUUGGGUUAAGUCCCGCAACGAGCGCAACCCUUAUCAUUAGUUGCUACCAUUAAGUUGAGCACUCUAAUGAGACUGCCCGGGUUAACCGGGAGGAAGGUGGGGAUGACGUCAAAUCAUCAUGCCCCUUAUGUCUAGGGCCACACACGUGCUACAAUGGUGAGUACAACGAGAUGCGAACCCGCGAGGGGGAGCUAAACUCAAAAACUCAUCUCAGUUCGGAUUGCAGGCUGCAACUCGCCUGCAUGAAGCUGGAGUUGCUAGUAAUCGCGAAUCAGAAUGUCGCGGUGAAUACGUUCCCGGGUCUUGUACACACCG
rnacentral:rRNA from 1 species